UGAGUAAUACAUCGGAACGUGCCCAAUCGUGGGGGAUAACGCAGCGAAAGCUGUGCUAAUACCGCAUACGAUCUACGGAUGAAAGCAGGGGAUCGCAAGACCUUGCGCGAAUGGAGCGGCCGAUGGCAGAUUAGGUAGUUGGUGAGGUAAAGGCUCACCAAGCCUUCGAUCUGUAGCUGGUCUGAGAGGACGACCAGCCACACUGGGACUGAGACACGGCCCAGACUCCUACGGGAGGCAGCAGUGGGGAAUUUUGGACAAUGGGCGAAAGCCUGAUCCAGCCAUGCCGCGUGCAGGAUGAAGGCCUUCGGGUUGUAAACUGCUUUUGUACGGAACGAAACGGUCUUUUCUAAUACAGAAGGCUAAUGACGGUACCGUAAGAAUAAGCACCGGCUAACUACGUGCCAGCAGCCGC
rnacentral:rRNA from 1 species